AAAUUGAAGAGUUUGAUCAUGGCUCAGAUUGAACGCUGGCGGCAGGCCUAACACAUGCAAGUCGAACGGUAACAGGAAGCAGCUUGCUGCUUUGCUGACGAGUGGCGGACGGGUGAGUAAUGUCUGGGAAACUGCCUGAUGGAGGGGGAUAACUACUGGAAACGGUGGCUAAUACCGCAUAACGUCGCAAGACCAAAGAGGGGGCCCUUCGGGCCUCUUGCCAUCAGAUGUGCCCAGAUGGGAUUAGCU
rnacentral:rRNA from 1 species